CUCCGUCCCCCGCCGGCCUACCACUAUCUAGACACCUCCUGCCCUCUCCAUAUGGCUCCGCGGGAUUGUUUCCCUCCCUAGCCCGACUUCUCCAAUAAACAGCAACUUCCUGCUUCUCCAGCAAGUCGCAUAAGAAGAACUGGAAUCUUGACACUACAACUCCUGACAGGACGCCCCUGCGGCAUCCAGAGACAGGGAAGCCAGUGCUGCUCUGCAUGUUCAGGGCGAGUAGCUGAGAGUCUCCUUCCGGCCUGGAUACUGAGGAAGGUGACUUAGACUUUCUCUCCGUCCUCUGAGUCGUAACGGACGGACACGCAAGGGCCGAGGACGGGUACAAGCAGCAGCGACUAGAACUGAUCUGGGUGAGAUCUAGGCCUCAGCAACAACUGACGCAAAAAGAUUUUGUUCUAGGAUUGGCUACAGCUGAAACUACCGCGCUUGAUUCAAAGCUCGGGGCUUGCAGCGGGAGGCAGCUGGCUCCUCCCUCUGAACCCGCCCCCUUUGGCUGGCCCAAUCCGCUGAUCCCAUCCUCUUAGGCCCUGCCCAGACUCCAAAUCUACCAGAAUUAAUGCUCCCAGCGCUGUUUGUCCACUCCUGCCUAUGAUUUGCUGUGUGACUACUACUCGUGGGGGUACCGUGAUUAGACGCUUUAAAGCUAUUAGCUAUCUUGUUUAAUAUUAACAAUGCUACUAGUGAGAUCAGUGUUAGUCUGUUUCUUAGAAAAAUAAACCAAGGGGCCGGACGCGGUGGCUCACGCCUGUAAUCCCAGCACUUUGGGAGGCCUAGGCUGGUGGAUCACGAGGUCAGGAGUUCAAGACCAGCCUGGCCAAGAUGGUGAGACCCCCCCGUCUCUACUAAAAAAUACAAAAAUUAGCCGGGCGUGGUGGCGGGCGCCUGUAAUCCCAGCUACUCGGGAGGCUGAGGUAGGAGAAUACUAGAACCCGGAAGGCAGAGGUUGCAGUGAGCCGAGAGCUCGCCACUGCACUCCAGCCUGGGCAACAGAGCGAAACUCCGUCUCAAAAAUAAAUAAAUAAAUAGGCCAAGGUUCCAACCUGGCCAACAUGGUGAAACCCCGUCUCUACUAAAAAUACGAAAAUUAGCCAGGUGUGGUGGCAGGCUCCUGUAAUCCCAGCUACUCGGGAGGCUAAGGCAGGAGAAUCACUUGAACCCGGGAGGCAAAGGUUGCAGUGAGCCGAGAUCUCGCCACUGCACUGCAGCCUGGGCAACAGAGCGAGACUCCGUCUCAAAAAAAAAAAAAAGGGGAAGCUGUGACUUGUUCAGAAAGUUGCAAGACAAAUCAGUUAUGGAAAGCAGUGUGCCUCAUUUCCUGCAAAUGGCUGAGUGAAAAAUAACUGGCAGGCUAAAAAGCUGCAAUUCCUCACACCUGGAGUAUCAUCCAUUCCUUUUCACCAUGGCCCAGUCUACGCUGAUCGGAGUAGGGGUUUUUAUUUCCCUUUAGGUUCCAGCAUAUUGGGAAAGAUUCCUGGAGAGGAUUCUUAUUCCAAUCUGUCAAGGCUCGAAGAGGUUGAAAUCUUUGGGGCUAGAGAGCUGGACGUGAAAAUGCCAAUUCCUAUGGCAAACAUACAUGGGCUCUUCCAUUAUUAGCUAGGUGACGUGAGCCAGGUCACGUAACCCGGAUUGUAAUCGAGUAGCUGGGAUUAAGGUUAAGUGUAAAAUGAAGACAUAUUAGUAGCCACCGCUUAAGGACAUUGUGAGAAUUACAGGUAAUUAGCACUGUGUAGAAUUCACGCUAAGCACUCAUUGAAUGGCUACCACAGUCUGAUGAUGUGGUAAAUGGAGGGUGUUGGGAGGGGAGAUCUCUCCAAAGUCCUUGCAGCCAGGGCUAGGGCCUGAGAAAACCUCUGCAAUUACUGGUGUGACCGAUUCAUCCAUUAAAUUAAUAUUCACUGAGCAACUUUGAGGUACAAGACUUUGUACUAGGUUCUGGGGACAAAAGACAUGGACUCUACCUUGAGGAACUCAGAGAAAUAUAUUUUAAAAUAUAUUUUAGGCUGGGCGUGGUAGCAGGUGCCUGUUAUCCCAGCACUUUGGGAGGCUGAGGCAGGCGGAUCACUUGAAGUCAGGAGUUCGAGACCAGCUUAGCGAACAUAGUGAAACACCAUCUCUACUAAAAAUACAAAAAUUAGCCGGGAGUGGUGGCAGGCUCCUGUAAUCCCAGCUACUUGGGAGGCUGAGGCAAGAGACCCACUUGAACCCAGGAGUUGGAGGUUGCAGUGAGCUGAGAUUGCACUACUACACUCCAGCCUGGGCGAUGGUGAGUCUCCAUCUCAAAAAAAAAUAAAUAGCUGGAUGCAGGCCGGGCGCGGUGGCUCACUCCUGUAAUCCCAGCACUUUGGGAGGCCGAGGCGGGCAGAUCACCUGAGGUCAGGAGUUUGAGACCAGCCUGGAUCCCCUGGUGAAACCCCAUCUCUACUAAAAAUACAAAAAUUAGGCAGGCGUGGUGGCAGGCGCCUGAAAUCUCAGCUACUUCGGGAGGCUGAGGCAGGAGAAUCGCUUGAACCUGGGAGGCAGUUUGCAGUGAGCCGACAUCGUGCAACUGCACUCCAGCCUGGCAACAGAGCGAGACUUCAUCUCAAAAAAUAAAUAAAUAAAAUAAAAUGAAUAGCUGGGCACAGUGGCUCACGCCUGUAAUCCCAACACUUUGGGAGGCCAAGGCGGGUGCAUCACACGGUCAGGAGAUCAAGACCAUCCUAGCCAACAUGGUAAAAACCCAUCUCUACUAAAAAUUCAAAAAUUAGCCGGACAUGGUGGUGGGGGCCUGUAGUCCCAGCUACUCAGGAGGCUGAGGCAGGAGAAUCACUUAAACCCAGGAGGUGGAGGUUGCAGUGAGCUGAGAUCGCACCACUGUACUCCAGCCUGGGUGACAGAGUGAGACUCUGUCUCAAAAAUAAAUAAAUAAUAAAUAAAUAAAAAUAAGGCCAGGCAGGGUGGCUCACGCCUGUAAUCCCAGCACUUUGAGAGGCCGAGGCAGGCAGAUCACCUGAGGUCAGGAGUUUGAGACCAGCCUGGCCAACAUGGUGAAACCCCGUCUCUACUAAAAGUACAAAAAUUAGCCGGGCAUGGUGGUGGGCGCCUAUAAUCCUAGCUACUCAGGAGGCUAAGGCAGGAGAAUCGCUUGAACCUAGGAGGCGGAGGUUGCAGUGAGUCGAGAUUGCACCACUGCACUCCAGCCUGGGCAACAGAGUGAGAUUCCAUCUCAAAAAAACAAAAAAUAAAAAUUUUAAAAAAUAAGUAUAUUUUAAAUCCAUGUACUUUUUAAAUUUUUUUUGAGACAGAGUCUCACUCUGUCGCCCAGGCUGGAGUGUGCUGUCAUGAUCUCAGCUCACUGCAAUCUCCACCUCCUGGGUUCAAGUGAUUAUCCUGCCUCAGCCUCCUGAGUAGCUAGCAUUACAGGCGAGCACCACCGUGCACAGCUAAUUUUUGUAGUUUUCGUAGAGAUGGGGUUUCACCACGUUGGCCAGGCUGGUCUUGAACUCCCGACCUCAGCUGAUCCACCCACCUUGGCCUCCCAAAGUGCUAGGAUUACAGGCAUAAGCCACCAUGCCCGGCCUGUUUUCCUCAUGUAACCCCAGGAAUUAAAAGUCCUCAAAGGCCAAUGGUCCAAAUAGGAGAUUGGCAAAUGAAGGAUCUUGUGGGGGCUGGGUUUUCUUCUGCCUGUCCGUGGAGUUAUAUACGUGUUGUGUGUGACGUCUAUAGAAAUAGCUCUAAUUAAUUGGCCUAAAGGAAGAUAAGCACUUGGAUCAAAUAUUUAUUAAAGGGAAGAUAGGCUGGGUGUGGUGGCUCACGCCUGUAAUCCCAGCACUUUGGGAAGCCAAGGCGGGCGGAUCACCUGAAGUCAGGAGUUCGAGACCAGCCUGACCAACAUGGACAUACCCCAUCUCUACUAAAAAUACAAAAUUAGCCAGGCUUGGUGGCCCAUGCCUGUAAUCCCAGCUACUUGGGAAGCUGAGGCAGGAGACUCAGUUGAACCUGGGAGGUGGAGGUUGCGGUGAGCUGAGAUUGUGCCAUUGCACUCAAGCCUGGAUAACAAGAGCGAAACUCCAUCUCAAAAAAAAUAAAAGGAAAGAUAAAACCUGUGAUACUUUUCAGUUCACCUGACUUUAAUCUUUGAGAAAUGAAAACAGCCUUAAAGAUUAUUGGUAAAAAGCCAAUGUCAUCAAAAUAUAAAUAAGUGGACUGGGCCGAGUGCAGUGGCUCACGCCUGUAAUCCCAGCACUUUGGGAGGCUGAGGUGAGCGGAUUGCCUGAGCUCAGGAGUUCAAGACCAGCCUGGGCAUCAGGGUGAAACCCCAUCUCUACUAAAAUACAAAAAAUUAGCUGGGCAUGGUGGCGUGCUCCUGUAGUCCCAGCUACUUAGGAGGCUGAGGCAGGAGAAUUGCUUGAAUCCAGGAGGCAGAGGUUGCAGUGAGUCGAGAUCGUGCCACUGCACUGCAUCCUGGGCAACAAAGCAAAACUUUGUCUUAAAAAAAAAAAAAAUAGUUGGACUAAAUUAUGCAGGUCAGAUACCAGGUUGGCUAAAUGUUUUAUGGUUAUAAACUGCUUUUUGGUCUCUACUAAAAAUACAAAAAUUAGCUUGGCAUUGUGGCAGGCACCUGUAGUCCCAGCUACUCGGGACUCUGAGACACAAGAAUUGCUUGAACCGUGAGACAGAGGUUGCAGUGAGCUGGAAUCAUGCCACUGCACUCUAGCCUGGGUGAUAGAGUGAGACUCCAUCUCCAUCUCAAAAAAAAAAAAAUUAAUCUUGCAAAGAAAUUAUCUGUGUGAACAUAUUGACUAAAUUCAAAAGUGUAUUGUAUGAUUUUUCUGUAAAUUGAACAUUGAAAUAAAAGCACAAUAAGGUACUCUUAAGGCACUAAUCUGCUCUUUGGCAAAAUUUGUAAAGGCUUAUAAAAGGUUUUUUUUUUUUCUUUUUAUGUUUCUGAGUCAUUAUUUUGGCAAAAUAAAUAAUUUAUUGUAAUCUGGAAUUCUAUUUUAAGUGUUUCAAACCUCUAACAUAUUUAACAGGCUU
rnacentral:lncRNA from 1 species